UACAGAGGGUGCAAACGUUGCUCGGAAUCACUGGGCGUAAAGGGCGUGUAGGCGGGAAGGUAAGUCAGAUGUGAAAGCCCUGGGCUCAACCCAGGAACUGCAUUUGAAACUCCCUUUCUUGAGUGUCGGAGAGGAAAGCGGAAUUCCUGGUGUAGAGGUGAAAUUCGUAGAUAUCAGGAGGAACACCGGUGGCGAAGGCGGCUUUCUGGACGACAACUGACGCUGAGACGCGAAAGCGUGGGUAGCAAACAGG
rnacentral:rRNA from 1 species